GAAGCGAUCUGUGAGCGUCUGCCGCAUCUCCAUCUUAUGCUCCAAUCCGGGAUCUUCCUCCAGGUCGAGAAGAUGCUCCGCGGUCCAUAUCUCCAGUUAAAGAUGAUGAUGACAAGGCCAUCCCUGUGGACAAAUCUGAACACUCAGAUGGGGAUGCCAAAGCAGUGGUCCGAUGAUGUGAGAGACCUCAAGAAGGUGAAGGUGCCACCAAUGGAUAUAUAG